CCUACGGGCGGCAGCAGUGGGGAAUAUUGGACAAUGGGGGGAACCCUGAUCCAGCCAUGCCGCGUGUGUGAAGAAGGCCCUCGGGUUGUAAAGCACUUUCAGUGAGGAAGAACGCCUGGUGGUUAAUACCCAUCAGGAAAGACAUCACUCACAGAAGAAGCACCGGCUAACUCCGUGCCAGCAGCCGCGGUAAUACGGAGGGUGCGAGCGUUAAUCGGAAUUACUGGGCGUAAAGCGCGCGUAGGUGGCUUGAUAAGCCGGUUGUGAAAGCCCCGGGCUCAACCUGGGAACGGCAUCCGGAACUGUCAAGCUAGAGUGCAGGAGAGGAAGGUGGAAUUCCCGGUGUAGCGGUGAAAUGCGUAGAGAUCGGGAGGAAUACCAGUGGCGAAGGCGGCCUUCUGGACUGACACUGACACUGAGGUGCGAAAGCGUGGGUAGCAAACAGGAUUAGAUACCCGAGUAGUC
rnacentral:rRNA from 1 species